rnacentral:rRNA from 1 species
CUUGAAACACGGACCAAGGAGUUUAUCGUGUACGCAAGUCAUUGGGUGAAUAAAACCCAAAGGCGUAAUGAAAGUAAAAAGUA